rnacentral:tRNA from 1 species
GGAGAGGUGCCAGAGUGGUCGAAUGGGCCCGCUUCGAAAGCGGGUGACUCCGAAAGGGGUCCCAGGGUUCGAAUCCCUGCCUCUCCGCCA